rnacentral:rRNA from 1 species
UACAGUGGUCUCAAGCGUUGUUCGGAUUCAUUGGGCGUAAAGGGUGCGUAGGCGGCGCGGUAAGUCGGGUGUGAAAUCUCGGAGCUUAACUCCGAAACUGCAUUCGAUACUGCCGUGCUUGAGGACUGGAGAGGAGACUGGAAUUUACGGUGUAGCGGUGAAAUGCGUAGAUAUCGUAAGGAAGACCAGUGGCGAAGGCGGGUCUCUGGACAGUUCCUGACGCUGAGGCACGAAGGUCAGGGGAGCAAACAGG